ACUGACAUACAGCAAUUCUCUUCUUUACCUCUCUCCCACUCUAUCUCCCUCUUUCUCUACUACGGUACACCACUCUGUUCAGCCCAAAAUAGCUAUUUAAAGAGAAGCUUCAAGAAACAGAGAAAUCUUUCUUUCCUUCGCUUUCUGUGCGUUUUUUCAGUAUAAACUAGGGUUUAAACAGCGAAAAAUGUGUGAAUAUUCAUGAAAAUAAAGAAGAA
rnacentral:misc_RNA from 1 species